rnacentral:rRNA from 2 species
AUAGCGAACAAGUACCGUGAGGGAAAGUUGAAAAGCACUCUGGAGAGAGAGUCAAAAGACCGUGAAACCGCUCAGAGUAUAAGCCCAUGGCUGCUUGGAAGGCAUAUCGCUAGCGGGGCAUCAGUUUCCUUCACGGGGGGCUGGUGUUACCUUGCUUCUGUUGUGGCUCGUUAUGGCGGGGUGACGCCCCGCCGCCGUGUGGGAAGUUCUCGGGCGUGUCGUUGUUUCGCGGUUGACUUCGGUUAGCCGCGGGGCUCUUCGCGCUUGGCUCUUCUUUAGACACGAACGCUCAGACUCAGUGGCAAGACGCGAUAAACAGCCCACCACGGCUCGUUGUGAGGUCACCCACAGGCUCAGCUUUCGAUUGUGGUCCUUGACGCCGAGCAAGCACUGUGCGUGUCGCAGAUGUUCCUAACCUGGCAACUCAUGGGCCGGACUGUGGAACGACACGCGCUCAAAAGUCGGGACCGGGCGAUGACAGAGUUCUGGUACGAUCCUCUUGCGACGAGCCGGCUUCUGGCCGAGUUCCGAUGCUCAGGUCUCCCGCAUGUGCCGCGGGAGAUCGCCUUGACGGUCUGGAUUUUCACGAGUCCUCUCAGUCGGGCAACGGAAAGAGUGGUGUAAAGUCCAAGCCCAUCGGUCACGUCUCGAAACACGGGCCAAGGAGUAUAGCAUGUGUGCAAGUCUAAGGGUCUCACAAAACCCGAAGGCGAAGUGAAAGCAAGUAAGCGGCGGGUGAUCUA